UACGUAGGUGGCGAGCGUUAUCCGGAAUUAUUGGGCGUAAAGCGCGCGCAGGCGGUUUCUUAAGUCCGAUGUGAAAGCCCACGGCUCAACCGUGGAGGGUCAUUGGAAACUGGGAGACUUGAGUGCAGAAGAGAAGAGUGGAAUUCCACGUGUAGCGGUGAAAUGCGUAGAGAUGUGGAGGAACACCAGUGGCGAAGGCGACUCUUUGGUCUGUAACUGACGCUGAGGCGCGAAAGCGUGGGGAGCAAACAGG
rnacentral:rRNA from 1 species